AUCCAGAUGAAGAGUCCCAAACUAGGACGAAACAGCUGUCUAAAAU
rnacentral:hammerhead_ribozyme from 1 species